rnacentral:ncRNA from 1 species
CGGGGUUUGAGGCAGGCACCCCGUCAGACGGCAAUUCGUCCAAGUUCUGC